rnacentral:lncRNA from 1 species
AGAACCUGGUAGUGGCUCACAAUCAUGCAUAACCCCAGUUCCAAGGAAUCUGAUUCCCUCUUAUGACCAGUGCAGGCCCCAGGCACACUCAUGAUACACAUACAUACAUGUAAGCAAAAUACUCAUACAUCCAAAAUUAAAUAAACAUAUAUCUCUAGACAGAGAGAUGCUUGGAGUGUGUCUCACCAGGAAUCUGCUGCAACUAAGACAAAAGAGGAUGGCUCCCCUUAACGCAUGCUCACUUAACCCUCAUCCUACUUUGACUCCUACAAACCAAUUGCUAUCUUAUAAUACACCCGAGAGCUUAGAAGAGUACUACAGUUGUGACCCACUCACCGUUUUUGAGGUUGUCCCUGUCCUUUCCACUAAGUCAAAACAAGAACUGGAAUGGAUGGAGCCUGUUGUACAUGGUUCCCCAGUUGGAAAUAGCUUUUUGUCCUCUUUUAUAAAGGAGAGAGUCAUGGACAAAAAAAAAAAAAAAAA